UUUUUUUUUUUUUUUUAAAAAGUAUUAGUCAAAAUCAAACUGGAAUAGGAAAAUGAUUAGUAGCCAUGCAGAACAGGAAAAACUAAGAAUCCAGUUGUUGAUCUUCUUGAUUUAAGAAAUGACAAUCUUAAGCCCAGAAGACUUUCCUCAGAUGGCAUAGCAUUUUAGUUCAGCAAUGUAACUAAUCAAGCAAACACUAAAAGCAACUAAAAUUUUAUUUAACCAAAAACCCAGCACACAUAUUUGCAUAUGGGUAUUAGUAGUACUUCAGCAAGAAAAUUUGUUUGGCAGAUGACAGAGAACCUACCAUUAUUAAUCUCAGCAAACU
rnacentral:misc_RNA from 1 species